rnacentral:piRNA from 1 species
UUUUGCUACAUCCGCGUUAGU